UUAGUGCAAUGUUUGGAGCUAAUUGAUUAGCCAAUGCCCAAGUAUGAUGUAUAGGAGACAUAGCGGACGGUUAGCAUCCCACAUUAACAAUAUUGUCUCUUAAUUAUAAAUGUUAUAAUAUGUCACUUAAUCCUACAAUUAGUGGUAUUUUUUCAUUUGUAAGUGUCUUAAGUUCAAAUUUCAUGAUUGACGAGUUUGAUACUAAUUUAUUCAUUUCAUCAUUUAAUAUAAAUAUAUCGUUGUAUCAUAUAAAUGUUACAAUGCCAUUUACAUUAGCUAUUUCCAAGGUUCUAAAAAACGCAAUGCGCUAGUCGAGCUGCGAGCUAGCACCUAGCGCCUAGGCGGCCUAGGCGGAUUUAGGUAAAUUUCUUGUAUAUCUUGUAAAUAAGUGCAUAUUGACACAUAAAAAAUUAUACUUGUAUGAAAUUCAUGGAUAAGAUAAUAAAAGAAUAAUAAAAUACAAAAAGAGUAUCUAACAAGUUCAAAAUUUAAAAACACAUUAAAAAUAUAUACCAUAUAACUUAAGACAUUUUGAAUGAUUAGUAAGUUAAAUUAAUUAAAUUUAGAGAGAUAAAAUAUAAUUCAAGACAUUUUAAAUAAUUAGUAUUUCGUUUUUAAACAAUAAAUAUUAAAAAACCACCUAGUGGGUUGGGUAAUUCAUAAACAUUUAAAAAACAAAAGCUUGUUCAUAAAAGUCCACAUGUGAGGUUUGACACCUUCCCUUCACCCCACUUUCGUACAUCAGAUUGGAUUCCAAAAGGUGGAGCCGUUUUUACGCCUUGGAAAGUUGACACAUUAUUUUUUAGGAAAACUAAUGAAAAGAGCUUGAAAACUUUGAGUUUUAACGAUAAUGACAAAAUAAAGGGUAAAGUGAAU
rnacentral:lncRNA from 1 species